UCUCUAUGAGCAAACGCGCGCUCGAGGUUUAAGGCGGCGGUUUACGCGUGAUGACGAUGAAAUGCCAUUGGGAGACCACCAACGUUCUCAGGUGACCAUAGGUAAAAACAGCGCAACAGACACGGACAACAAUGCACACAGGACUAGCGCUAGUCCUGUGUGUAUUGUUGUCCGUGUCUACUUCGCGCUGUUUUUAACUAUGGAUACGCAUCAACUGGAUCACAUGCACUCACUUUUAAGUCAGUGGUGACAACAGGGGGCUGUCACUGACUGGCAAGCGUCCCAGUAGGAUCCCAACAGAUACGAGUCGGUUCCCCAGCCAGCGCUUGCACCUGGGAAGGAACGUUCUGCGCUCAUGCAGGUGCUGUUCGCUGACACGGGACGCAGUUUGCUCAUAGGUAUCGACUUGGCCGACACCGGGACCUAGGGAUAUGUUGGCACGACGGUUCGCCGGCAGCCCUUCCUUGUUAGGCGCAGCUGCCUGAACAGUACUGUGGCUGGGAAACAAUAUGCCAGAAACACCUAGCUUGCCAAUUUUGCUUUGUGAAAAGCGGCGGACAUUGUCUUGUCUACCAGUUUACAACUUCAAAGUUGCGGGAUUAUUCAAGAUCGGAGGGUCGUGUCCGGUUCAACUUCUUGGUUUCCCAUCUUCUGCACAGAGCAUGGUUCUAAAGCAAUAAAGCAGACUGGCCAUUU